GAAGAAUUAGUUAAAUUAUAUAACAUUAGAAUGUCAACCUAAAAUAAUCACUAAUUAAAUAUGAUAUUCCUCA
rnacentral:tRNA from 1 species